GAUUCCCUCAGUAGUGGCGAACGAAGCGGGAACAGCCCAGAUUUGGAAGGCUCUUUGGAGCCGUUGUAUUCUGGGGAGUGCGCUUCUUUGCGUGUUCAUGCGGCAGUUCGAAGUCCCUCUGGAACGAGGCGGCGCAAAAGGUGAGACCCCUGUCCGGACUGACCGCUGGCAUGCAGGCGAGCGUGCUCCAARAGUCGCGUUGUUUGGGAUUGCAGCGUCAAUUAGGGUGGUACAAGCCAUCCAAGGCUAAAUAUGAUUGGGAGACCGAUAGCGGACAAGUACCACGAGGGAAAGUUGGCAARAACUCUGAARAGAGAGUGCAACARAACGUGAAAUUGCCUAGUGACAAGGGGGCGCGGCUGGGGGUUUUCUUAUUAAACUAGACCAGCCGUGGCCCACCCGUCUUGAAACACGGACCAAGGAGUUUACUGGGGUGGCGAGUCUUUCUCAAYCAAUGGAGACAGGGCGCAAUGAAAGUGAACAUUUUCUUAACACGAGGGGGCAACAYAGUUGUCACCCAGAGCCGCCCUAGUAAGACCCGAUAGAUGGUGAACUAUGCUUGGGUAGGAUGAAGCCAGAGGAAACCCUGGUGGAAGUCUGUCGAGGUUUUGACGUGCAAAUCGAUCUCUUGACCUGAGUAUAGGGGCGAAAGACCUAUCGAACCAUCUAGUAGCUGGUUCCAGUCGAAGUUUCCCUCAGGAUAGCAGCAGGCAAAAACGUUGUAGUUUCAGUGAUAUAAAGCGAAUGAUUAGAGAGCUUUGGGCUUUGAGUGGCCUUUACCUAUUCUCAAACUUUGAAUGUGCGAGUUGGGCUUUGCUGGUGCUUAAKUGACCAGCGCCCGUGAAUACAGCGCCUGUUAGUGGGCCAUUUUUGGUAAGCAGAACUGGCGAUGUGGGAUGAACCAAAAGGGUCAUUAAAGAGCCAAAGUCCCCGGGUAUCAGGCACCAUAAAAGGAGUUGGUUCAUCCAGACAGCAGGACGGUGGCCAUGGAAGUCGGCAACUGCCAAGGAGUGUGUAACAACUCACCUGCCGAAUGGACCAGCCCUGAAAAUGGAUGGCACUUAGCGGGGCGUUGUCUUUGAUGACCCUGCAAAACAAAACGUAGGUGGUUUUGCAAGUAGGCUGGUGCGGAGGUGACCGUCAAAGGUUCCCAGUGAUGGGGGCUGCAGGCGCCUCUGGUACAAAUCUUGGUGUUAGUAGCAAAUAUUCAAGGGCGRACGCUUGAGGACUAAAGUGGAGCAGGGUUUUAAUGGAAUUAGCAUAAGCAUUAAGUGAGUCGGGGCUGAAAUCAUGCUGAAAAGUUUAUUUCGAUCGAAAGCCAACAGGUUUUAGAUUACCUGACCGGGCCUCUGUGUUUGGAGAUGGCAACACGCGCCGGCUGAUGACCUGAGCAGCGGAGCUGGGAAGAAAUGUCUUUUCUGGUGAUGGUGUCAAUUUAUUGCGAGGGCCUCGGAAUGGCGUCAGGCCGUGAAGAGGGCAUCUAGCGAGCACCAGCAGAGCCACCCCUUGUYGGGUGGUCCAGCGCCCCGCUGCGUCAGCCUUGAAAAGUCAGCCGGCUAACACUUUAGUGUGUGGACACAGGCCCGUCCGUACCGAUAUCCGCAACAGGUCUCCUGGGUUUGAAGCCUCUGGUCAGUAGAACAAUGUAGAUAAGGGAAGUCGGCAAAGUUGAUCUGUAACUUUGGGACAAAGAUUGGCUCAACCUCGAGGUUGAACUGGUACAGACGUUGGGAAUCCAACCGUCUAAUUAAAACAUAGGGGGGUGCGAGUCCAAAGUGGAUGUGGACACCGCCUGAUUUCUGCCCAGUGCUCUGAAUGUCAAGGUGAAGAAAUUCAAACAAGCGCGGGUAAACGGCAGGAGUAACUAUGACUCUUUUAAGGUAGCCAAAUGCCUCGUCGUGUAAUUUGCGACGCGCAUGAAUGGAGGAAUGAGAUUCCCACUGUCCCUAUUUACCAUCUAGCGAAAAGACAGCCAAGGGAACGGGCUUGGGCGCGACAGCGGGGAAAGAAGACCCUUUUGAGUUUGACUCUAGUUUGGGUGGGAGAAGGCGGGUGUUGGGUGUAGCAUAGGGGGGAGUUCUUCGGAACGACCUUGAAAUACCCCCACCAGCGGGCCGCCUUCUCUCAGGGGGUCACUUGUUCGCUUGUUUAUUUGGCAAGAACAACCUACCCCGACACACCCAGGUCGGGAGUUUGGCUGGGGCGGCACACCUGUUAAAGCAUAACGCAGGUGUCCUAAGGGGAGCUCCGAAAGGACAGAAACCUUUCUUAGAGCAAAAGGGCAAAAGCUCCCUUGAAUUUAGCGUCUUCAGUACAGAGCUAAACCCAUGAAAGUGCGGCCUAUGCGAUCCCCUUGU
rnacentral:rRNA from 1 species